CCCCACAAUGGUGGGGAUUCUAGAAAACAGCAAAAAGGGGAGUAGAUUUUUCCCACCUUCCCUAGUGUCACUGCUCUAAUCACCCACCUCCAUUUUCCCUGGUUGCAUUUACCGUAAGUGCAUUUAAGGUGGUGUGGUUGUUAUUGUUGUUGUUAGGCUUCUUAGAGAGAUUCAGUCAUAGAAUCAGCCCUGUCACGUCUGUUUUGGCAAACUUUAUCACCCAUAAAUGCCCAGAAAAUGUUUUGUUACUGGGUGAUAGAUAAAUACUGAAAGUAAAUAAAUUUCUACAAUAAAAUUCUAUAAACAGAUCAAAGAAGAGAGUAUUUAGGAAGCACAUCAGUAAGGGUGUGUGUUGGGAGGAGGGGUGAAUAAACUGGAUCUGCUUUUGAUAAGGUAUGUCUCCCCUCAGUACUGUGCCUGUCUACACUGGACACACUAGUAUUACAAUUGCAUUUGAAGUGAAAUAGCUCGUGGCAUGCUGCAUCUCUAAAAAGAACAUCGGGGAAACACUGGAAUGCAACAGUUUGUCAGCACAGUCAUCUGGAUUCUCCAUAAUCACAAACCCCUGAACCAAUGAUGUUCAUUCCAGAGGAGGAACAUGGGUGGUGCUGUGGCAUAAAGCACUGGAGCCUCUUGGGCUUGCCAAUCAGAAGGUCGGCAAGUCCACAUGAUGGGGUGAGCUCCUGUUACUUUGUCCCAGCUCCUGCCAACCCAGCAGUUUGAAAGCAUACCAGUGCAAGUAGAUAAAGAGGUACUGCUGCAGUGGUAAGGUAAAUGGAAAUGGCUUCUUUCAAGACUUAUUAUUCCAUGAAAAAGUUCAGGUGACCACCAACUGAUUUAGCAAAACCAAAAGAGUGUAGUACUUUACAAAUCUUAUAAAGAACCAUAUCUUUAUUGUGAAAUGAUCAAGGCUAGUCAACAAGUUUACUAUUCACACCCUUGAUUUGAUUCUCUAGAAACCAGUUUACCUAAGGACUACUUCACACACAUCCCCCCCCCCAACAUAGCUAUAACUCCAUGAAAAAUACACACACCAUCAUUUGCAAAGUGUGCUGCAACUGUUUAUUUUAGCACGAGGACUUGGAUUGUGCAAAUCAGUUUCCUGACCCAGGUACUUCUUGCAAAAUAAACAUUUGCAUCCCACUUCACAAAUGUCAGUGUACUGCUACUUUUCUCGCUCCAUGGAGACGAUCUCCAUGUUUUUACACACACAAACCUCAACAGUUGUAUGUGAAGCUACCCUACAAGUUCUCUCAUAAUGCUCUCUGGACUAAGAACCUCAGCAGCAUGUGGAAAUGACCAUUACUUCUUAUUAAUGCGCAUCUCUUUUGAAUCUGAAAAUGCAGCUUCCUUUAACAACUUAUUUCAGUCUUUAAAUGAGCUCACACAGUCCUCACAACCUCAACACUUCACCCACACUAGCUCUCAUAUGUAAUGUGUAGCACAGAAUAUGCAAUCUACUGUUAAAAGUGAGCUAUAAAUAAGGACUUGAAUUCCCAGAGCAGGCUAGAAGUCAUCAUCCCCAUGAACCCCAAAUGAUCUUCCCAGAGCAUCCAACAGCAGGUGGGGGGUCAUUAUCCUGGACACAAGAAAAAUGUAUUAUUUUCCCACAUGAAUAAACAUGUAGCUGCAGUUGUGUGUUAGGCAUAACAAGAUAUCCCAGUUGCAUCUUUGGGUAAAAAGGUAAAGGUACCCCUGCCCGUUCGGGCCAGUCUUGCCAGACUCUAGGGUUGUGCGCUCAUCUCACUCUAUAGGCCGGGAGCCAGCGCUGUCCGCAGACACUUCCGGGUCACGUGGCCAGCGUGACAAGCUGCAUCUGGCGAACCAGCGCAGCACACGGAACACUGUUUACCUUCCCGCUGGUAAGCGGUCCCUAUUUAUCUACUUGCACCCGGAGGUGCUUUCGAACUGCUAGGUUGGCAGGCGCUGGGACCGAAUGACGGGAGCGCACCCCGCCACGGGGAUUCGAACCGCCGACCAUGCGAUCGGCAAGUCCUAGGCGCUGAGGUUUUACCCACAGCGCCACCCGCGUCUUUGGGUAUCCAAGUCUAAAAGAGAGGGUUAGAUGGACUUCUGGCAUGGACUGUCUAGUAUGGUUUUGUCUAUAUUAACUGACACAAGCUCUUCAGGGUUUCAGACAUGAGUCUCUCCUCGCCUUACUGAAGAUUUUUGGGAUUGGAUCUGAGCCCUUCUGCAUGCAAAGCAGAUCUUCUGCCAUUGAGCCCCUUCCUGUGUUUUAAUCCCAGUUCUUCUGCUUUCUGCUUCUGAUGCAGCCAAAUUCCAAUGUUUCACCAGGAUUACAGGAUUAAUGGAUCCUGUAAUCGGUUUGACUGCUGCUAUAAUAUCUGGAAGUCAUUUCUGAAUUGAGUGGCUGCAGAGCAUCUGCCUGACAUUCAGAACCAUCACAUUGUCCACCCCGCCCCCCAAUUCUCCCUUUGCUUUUGAACAUCUUUACGUGUCAAUCCUUCUCCCACUAUGAUUAUUCAACCAAGCUAAACAAAAUUAUAAAAAGGAUUGUUGCUUAGUUUUAACAAUAUGAUCUGGGUCACAUG